GGGCCCGCACAAGCAGUGGAUUAUGUGGUUUAAUUCGAAGCAACGCGAAGAACCUUACCAGGGUUUGACAUCCGACUAACGAGGCAGAGAUGCGUUAGGUGCCCUUCGGGGAAAGUCGAGACAGGUGGUGCAUGGUUGUCGUCAGCUCGUGUCGUGAGAUGUUGGGUUAAGUCCCGCAACGAGCGCAACCCUUAUUGCUAGUUGCUACGCAAGAGCACUCUAGCGAGACUGCCGUUGACAAAACGGAGGAAGGCGGGGACGACGUCAAAUCAUCAUGCCCCUUAUAUCCUGGGCUACACACGUAAUACAAUGGCGCAGACAAAGGGAAGCAAUGCCGCGAGGUGGAGCGAAUCCCUAAAAGGCGUCUCAGUUCGGAUUGCAGUCUGCAACUCGACUGCAUGAAGUCGGAAUUGCUAGUAAUCGCGGAUCAGCAUGCCGCGGUGAAUACGUUCCCGGGCCUU
rnacentral:rRNA from 1 species